CUUUAGAGUUUGAUCCAUGGCUCAGAACGAACGCUGGCGGCGCGUUUUAAGCAUGCAAGUCGAACGGUAACAGGCCUUCGGGCGCUGACGAGUGGCGAACGGGUGAGUAACACGUAGGUGAUCUGCCCAUAGGUUGGGGAUAUACUGUGGAAACAUAGGGUAAUACCGAAUAGGCUUACCGGACUUUGGCCUGGAGAGCAAAGGGGCUUCGGCCUCGCCUGUGGAUGAGCCUGCGGCUGAUUAGCUAGUUGGUGGGGUAAAGGCCUACCAAGGCGACGAUCAGUAGCCGGCGUGAGAGGGUGAUCGGCCACACUGGGACUGAGAUACGGCCCAGACUCCUACGGGAGGCAGCAGCUAAGAAUCUUCCGCAAUGGACGAAAGUCUGACGGAGCGACGCCGCGUGGGUGAAGAAGGCGGAAACGUUGUAAAGCCCUUUUAUAGAUGAGGAAUAAGUAUCGGAGGAAAUGCCGGUAUGAUGACGUUAGUCUAUGAAUAA
rnacentral:rRNA from 1 species